GUAACGAGCGCAACCCUUGUCCUUAGUUACCAGCACGUUAUGGUGGGCACUCUAAGGAGACUGCCGGUGACAAACCGGAGGAAGUGGGGAUGACGUCAAGUCAUCAUGGCCCUUACGGCCUGGGCUACACACGUACUACAAUGGUCGGUACAAAGGGUUGCCAAGCCGCGAGGUGGAGCUAAUCCCAUAAAACCGAUCGUAGUCCGGAUCGCAGUCUGCAACUCGACUGCGUGAAGUCGGAAUCGCUAGUAAUCGUGAAUCAGAAUGUCACGGUGAAUACGUUCCCGGGCCUU
rnacentral:rRNA from 1 species